UACGUAGGCAGCAAGCGUUGUUCGGAAUUACUGGGCGUAAAGGGUGCGUAGGCGGUGCUCUAAGUUUGGUGUGAAAUCUCCCGGCUUAACUGGGAGGGUGCGCCGAAGACUGGAGUGCUUGAGUGCGGGAGAGGAAAGCGGAAUUCCUGGUGUAGCGGUGAAAUGCGUAGAGAUCAGGAGGAACACCUGCGGUGUAGACGGCUUUCUGGACCGUAACUGACGCUGAGGCACGAAAGCGUGGGUAGCAAAC
rnacentral:rRNA from 1 species